AAGUGAUAAUUCAAUAAAGGGAGGUAUGAGUGCAACCAUUAUUUUAUUAUAUUAUUAUUAUUAUUAUUAUUAUUAUUUUAUGGUUGCACUCAUACCUCCCUUUAUUGAAUUAUCACUU